GUAGCCAUAGUUUGACCAAAACCUUGGGCCGUGGCCCCAAGAACGAGAGAUUUCCUCUCUGACCACC
rnacentral:tRNA from 1 species